rnacentral:rRNA from 1 species
UACAGAGGUCCCAAGCGUUGUUCGGAUUCACUGGGCGUAAAGGGUGCGUAGGUGGUCGGGUAAGCCUGAUGUGAAAUCUCCGAGCUUAACUCGGAAACUGCAUCGGAUACUAUUCGGCUCGAGGGUUGGAGGGGGGACUGGAAUGCUUGGUGUAGCAGUGAAAUGCGUAGAUAUCAAGCGGAACACCAGUGGCGAAGGCGAGUCCCUGGACAACUCCUGACACUGAGGCACGAAAGCUAGGGGAGCAAACAGG